UUAGAGUUUGAUCCUGGCUCAGGAUGAACGCUGGCGGCGUGCCUAAUACAUGCAAGUCGGCGAACAGAUAAGGAGCUUGCUCCUUUGACGUUAGCGGCGGACGGGUGAGUAACACGUGGUAACCUACCUAUAAGACUGGGAUAACUUCGGGAAACCGGAGCUAAUACCGGAUAAUAUUUGAACCGCAUGGUUCGAUAGUGAAAGAUGGUUUUGCUAUCACUUAUAGAUGGACCCGCGCCUAUUAGCUAGUUGGUAAGGUAACGGCUUACCAAGGCAACGAUACGUAGCCGACCUGAGAGGUGAUCGGCCACACUGGAACUGAGACACGGUCCAGACUCCUACGGGAGGCAGCAGUAGGGAUCUUCCGCAAUGGGCGAAAGCCUGACGGAGCAACGCCGCGUGAGUGAUGAAGGUCUUCGAUCGUAAAACUCUGUUAUUAGGGAAGAACAUACGUGUAAGUAACUAUGCACGUCUUGACGUACCUAAUCAGAAAGCCACGGCUAACUACGUGCCAGCAGCCGCGGUAAUACGUAGGUGGCAGCGUUAUCCGGAAUUAUUGGGCGUAAAGCGCGCGUAGGCGGUUUUUUAAGUCUGAUGUGAAUCCCACGGCUCAACCGUGGAGGGUCAUUGGAAACUGGAAAACUUGAGUGCAGAAGAGGAAGUGGAAUUCCAUGUGUAGCGGUGAAAUGCGCAGAGAUAUGGAGGAAC
rnacentral:rRNA from 1 species